AUUGAACGCUGGCGGCAUGCCUUACACAUGCAAGUCGAACGGCAGCACGGGAGCUUGCUCCUGGUGGCGAGUGGCGAACGGGUGAGUAAUACAUCGGAACGUACCCUGAAGUGGGGGAUAACGUAGCGAAAGUUACGCUAAUACCGCAUAUUCUGUGAGCAGGAAAGAGGGGGAUCGCAAGACCUCUUGCUUUAGGAGCGGCCGAUGUCGGAUUAGCUAGUUGGUGAGGUAAAGGCUCACCAAGGCGACGAUCCGUAGCGGGUCUGAGAGGAUGAUCCGCCACACUGGGACUGAGACACGGCCCAGACUCCUACGGGAGGCAGCAGUGGGGAAUUUGGACAAUGGGCGCAAGCCUGAUCCAGCCAUGCCGCGUGAGUGAAGAAGGCC
rnacentral:rRNA from 1 species